CCCUUAGAUGUUCUGGGCUGCACGCGUGCUACACUGAUAUUGCCAAUAUGUCAUUCUUAUCCGAAAUGGAUUGGGUAAUCAAGUAAUGAAAUUUCAUGCUUGGAAUCGGUAAUUGCAAUUUUAUCGUGAACGAGGAAUUCCUAGUAAGCACUAGUCAUCAGCUAAUGUUGAUUAUGUCCCUGCCCUUUGUACACACCGCCCGUCGCUACUACUGAUUGGGUGUUCAAGUGAGAUGCUUAGACCCUUGUUGCAUGGUUCAUUAUUGUGCUCCGAAAGGAAAAAGUUUCAAGCUUGAGUGUCUAGAGGAAGUAAAAGUCGUAAC
rnacentral:rRNA from 1 species